GACGAACGCUGGCGGCGUGCUUAACACAUGCAAGUCGAACGCUGAAGCUUGGUGCUUGCACUGGGUGGAUGAGUGGCGAACGGGUGAGUAAUAAGUGAGUAACCUGCCCUUGACUCUGGGAUAAGCCUGGGAAACUGGGUCUAAUACUGGAUACGACAUGUCACCGCAUGGUGGUGUGUGGAAAGGGUUUUACUGGUUUUGGAUGGGCUCACGGCCUAUCAGCUUGUUGGUGGGGUAAUGGCUCACCAAGGCGACGACGGGUAGCCGGCCUGAGAGGGUGACCGGCCACACUGGGACUGAGAAAAGGCCCAGACUCCUACGGGAGGCAGCAGUGGGGAAUAUUGCACAAUGGGCGGAAGCCUGAUGCAGCGACGCCGCGUGAGGGAUGACGGCCUUCGGGUUGUAAACCUCUUUCAGCACGGAAGAAGCGAAAGUGACGGUACGUGCAGAAGAAGCGCCGGCUAACUACGUG
rnacentral:rRNA from 1 species